rnacentral:misc_RNA from 1 species
CUCGCGGGCUAUUGCAGGAUUCACAGCUGUUGCUUGAUGAGAGAACAGAGUCUCAAUAUUCACAUGCGAUACUUGAAGCACGAAGCGUAUACGGAAAUAAAAAUUCUCAAUCCUAAUCGCACUCUGUGAAAGUUCAUUUGGUUCAUUUGAAAUUAAGGAGCCUGAGUUUGAAGUCUGUAGGCAUCCCUUUUCCUUUGGCAUUGGAGGCAACAAAGGGAUCGGCCUCGGCUCUCCUCCGGCAGCAGCGAUGAGCGGACCGCCGCGAACCUGGCGCCGAUCCCAGGCAAACACACCGCUCGGUAGGGACCGACUCCGGCAGCCGUUUCGGUCUCCACUACUGGCGAAUCGAACAGGCGCCUCUCCGGCCACGGGAAGCACGACCACUGUGAGCUCUACCUCCCCGGCGAGCAAGACGAACUCGGCCUCUCCGUCUCCGGCGAGCGCAUCCAUUCCGUUCCGGUCUCCUUUGCUAAUCGGCACACCGAGCCGUGUUGAGACUCCGUGUGAUCGGGUCUACCCACCAGCCGGAGACAGUCCUCUGACUGGCGAUAGCGCCGCCUCUCCGGUCCUACGAGACACCCCCAGAGUCGGCGCAGUAGCGGGCUCAGACUCGGUGUCAGAGUCGCCCUCAGAGAACGGCGCUGACGGUGACUCGUCACUCGCGGAAGCACUGGCGGCGGCGGACGCUGAGCUGGCCCGUCUGGAGGCGGCUGGGUGUCGUGCGGAGCAGCUGCCGCUCUACAUAGACGCGUUGCACGGCUACAAUGAGAUCAAAGACGCGGCACAGCUGGUGAUGGGCAGGAUAGCUGAACUGGACGGCGUCACCGUGCGCUCUGUGCACCAGCGGUACGAGUGUCUGCCGCCAGCCGAGCGCCAGUGACUGGGGGGCCAAUCUACGGACGUCAGCGACUGAGGCUGAUCUGCGGACGCCAGUGAUCGAGUCGGGCUGAUGGGAGAAGAGAUGAGAUAAGACGUAGGGCGGAAGCUGGGUGUCUGCAGUGACGAGUCUCUGGCUGUGAUUGAGCGUAGGCGUUAGCGCACCUGAUAAGGGGAGUAGAGUCAGUACAGCUCUUCAGUGAGCCGUCUAGAGCGAUGCUGGCUGUUGUGUGACCUGUGUGAUCUGCCAACGAUAUAACACGAUGACGAUAUGGCUAUGCCCGUCUUGCAAUCUAUCACUGCCGCUGCUCAAUAUACAUAUGUGCAUUGUACAACCAUGCAUUAGUUGAAGACUCCGAGAAGCCACAAGUUGUGGCUUUGUUCUGGCCACUUGUUUGCUAUCGCGUAGAGUCCUUCAUCCCGUUUCACACGUUUCCGCAUUUCGUUACAUCUUUCGUCAGCUCAUGCUGAGCCCUAUUUGUGCUGGUCUGCCGUUUAAAUAUCGUUUUGAAUCGAUCUAUGACCAUUCAUUGCAUCUUGUGAUAUUGUAUGAGUUGUGGAAGUCAAAAUGUUCGAGCUAAUAUAUCUUAUGUUUAA